CGGGGUGUGGCGCAGCCUGGCUAGCGCGCUUGUUUUGGGUACAAGAGGCCCCCGGUUCGAAUCCGGGCUCCCCGA
rnacentral:tRNA from 1 species